GAUGGGGCUGCGGCCGAUCAGGCCGUUGGCGAGGUAACGGCUCACCAAACCUUUGACCGGUACGGGCCAUGAGAGUGGUAGCCCGGAGAUGGACACUGAGAUAGGGGUCCAGGCCCUACGGGGCGCAGCAGGCGCGAAAACUCCACACUGUACGCAAGUACGAUGGGGUUACCUCGAGUGUAGUCUGUAAAAGAUUGCUUUUCCAUAGAGUAAUAUCCUGUGGGAAUAAGAGGGGGGCAAGACUGGUGUCAGCCGCCGCGGUAACACCAGCCCCUCGAGUGGUAGGGACUUUUAUUUGGCCUAAAGCGUUCGUAGCCGUCUGUAACCGUUGCCCGUUAAAUCCAGCGUCUCAAGCGUUGGACUGCGGGCGAUACCUUACAGAUUGAGGGUGGGAUAGGUAAGCGGUAUUUCUGGGGUAGGGGCGAAAUCCUUUGAUCCCAGGAGGACCACCAGUGGCGAAGGCUGCUUACUAGAACACGCCUGACGGUCAGGAACGAAAGCUGGGGUAGCGAACCGGAUUAGAUACCCGGGUAGUCCCAGCUGUAAACGAUGCGCGCUAGGUGUUGGGUCGGCCAUGCGCCGCCCCAGUGCCGCAGGGAAGCCGUUAAGCGCGCCGCCUGGGGAGUACGGCCGCAAGGCUGAAACUUAAAGGAAUUGGCGGGGGAGCAC
rnacentral:rRNA from 1 species